CGAAAGUUUGAUUUUUGCUUUAAGAUUUGAUUUAAUUUAUUAUUAAAUGUUUAAUAUAAGAUAAUUAUUAUAUUCUUGAAGAAUAUAUAUAUAUAUAUAUAUUGCAAUAAAAAAUAUUAAAAAUUGAUGAAAGUUUGAUUUAGUUAUUGUUAUUAAGUAUUGAUAAAAUAUGUGCCAGCAAUCGCGGUUAUACAUAGAAUAUAAUUAAAUUUUAUUAGUUUAAGAGUUACUUUUAUUUUAAUAAUCAUUAUAAUUAUUUUUUGGGUGAAAUUUAAAGUUUUAUAAUGAUUAUUAUAUGGAAAAAUGAGAGGAGGCUAAUGAAGAUUCAUUAAAUUAAACUAGGAUUAGAUACCCUAUUAUACGUUUUUUAAAUAUUUAAACUUAGGUAGUAGUAGUUAUAGUCUUGAAACUUAAAAUUUUUGGCGGUAUUUUAGUCUAUUUAGAGGAAUUUGUCCCAUUAUCGAUAAUCCACGUUGAACCUAACUUAAAUCAUUAAUAUGUAUACCGCCGUAUAGAAAAUCUUUAUAGAGAUAUUUUCUUGAUUAAUUUAAUUAAAUCUUAUUUCAGGUCAAGGUGCAGUUUAUAUUUAAGUGGAGAUGAAUUACAAUAUUUAAAAGUAAAUGAAUUAUGAAUUGAAAUUUUUAUAUGAAGGUGAAUUUAAUAGUAAUAUUAAUAAGAAUAUUAAUAUGAUAUAAUUUAGCUCUAAAAUAUGUACAUAUCGCCCGUCACUCUCGUUUAUAAAAUGAGAUAAGUCGUAACAAAGUAGGUGUACCGGAAGGUGUAGCUGGAAGGAUAUUAAAUAAUUAGUAAGU
rnacentral:ncRNA from 1 species